GACGAACGCUGGCGGCGUGCUUAACACAUGCAAGUCGAACGGACAGACAGAGAGCUUGCUCUCUUGAAGUUAGUGGCGAACGGGUGAGUAACGCGUAAUCAGCCUGCCCUUCAGAGGGGGAUAACAACGGGAAACCGUUGCUAAUACCGCGUACGAUUCAUAGGCGGCAUCGCUUGUGAAUGAAAGGUGGCCUCUAUAUAUAAGCUAUCGCUGAAGGAAGGGAUUGCGUCUGAUUAGCUAGUUGGAGGGGUAACGGCCCACCAAGGCAAUGAUCAGUAGCCGGUCUGAGAGGAUGAACGGCCACAUUGGGACUGAGACACGGCCCAAACUCCUACGGGAGGCAGCAGUGAGGAAUCUUCCGCAAUGGACGAAAGUCUGACGGAGCAACGCCGCGUGAGUGAUGAAGGUCUUCGGAUUGUAAAGCUCUGUUAAUCGGGACGAAAGAGUUCUGUGUGAAUAAUGCAGAAAAGUGACGGUACCGGAAUAGAAAGCCACGGCUAACUACGUGC
rnacentral:rRNA from 1 species